rnacentral:rRNA from 1 species
UACGAAGGGGGCUAGCGUUGUUCGGAAUCACUGGGCGUAAAGGGCGCGUAGGCGGCCGAUCAAGUCGGGGGUGAAAGACUGUGGCUCAACCACAGAAUGGCCUUCGAUACUGGUUGGCUCGAGACCGGAAGAGGUGAGUGGAACUGCGAGUGUAGAGGUGAAAUUCGUAGAUAUUCGCAAGAACACCAGUGGCGAAGGCGGCUCACUGGUCCGGUUCUGACGCUGAGGCGCGAAGGCGUGGGGAGCGAACGGG